AGUAGCGGCGAGCGAACCCGGAGGAGCCCAGCUUUUGAUAGUACGAACUUUAGCCGAAAGGUCCUGGAAAGGCCUGCUAUAGUGGGUGAUAGCCCCGUAGGCGAAAGAGUUCGUAUGGUACUAAGGAAGCGAGAAGUAGAGCGGGACACGUGGAAUCCUGUUCGAAGACGGGGGGACCAUCCUCCAAGGCUAAAUACUCGUGAUCGACCGAUAGUGAACCAGUACCGUGAGGGAAAGGCGAAAAGAACCCCGGGAGGGGAGUGAAAUAGAACCUGAAACCGCAUGCAUACAAACAGUAGGAGCCUCGUCAGAGGUGACUGCGUACCUUUUGCAUAAUGGGUCAGCGACUUACAUUCUGUGGCGAGCUUAACCGAAUAGGGGAGGCGCAGCGAAAGCGAGUUCGAAAUGAGCGUCCAGUCGCAGGGUGUAGACCCGAAACCAGAUGAGCUAUCCAUGGCCAGGUUGAAGGUGUGGUAACACACACUGGAGGACCGAACCGACUAGUGUUGCAAAAUUAGCGGAUGAGCUGUGGAUAGGGGUGAAAGGCCAAACAAAUCUGGAGAUAGCUGGUUCUCCCCGAAAACUAUUGAGGUAGUGCCUCGUGUGUCGCUCCAGGGGGUAGAGCACUGUUUUGGCUAGGGGGACAUGGAGUCUUACCAAACCAAGGCAAACUCCGAAUACCUGGAAGCGUAAGCACGGGAGACAGAGCACCGGGUGCUAACGUCCGGACUCAAAAGGGAAACAACCCAGACCGCCGGCUAAGGUCCCCAAUAACAGCUAAGUGGAAAACGAAGUGGAAAGGCCGUGACAACCAGGAAGUUGGCUUAGAAGCAGCCAUCCUUCAAAGAAAGCGUAAUAGCUCACUGGUCGAGUCCUUCUGCGCGGAAGAUGUAACGGGGCUAAGCUGUUAACCGAAGCCGCGGAUGCACUGAUUAUUCAGUGCGUGGUAGGGGAGCGUUCUGUAAGUCUGCGAAGGCGGUUCGAGAGGACUGCUGGAGAUAUCAGAAGUGCGAAUGCUGACAUGAGUAACGUUAAAGCAGGUGAAAAGCCUGCUCGCCGUAAGCCCAAGGAUUCCUGCUCUACGUUCAUCGGAGCAGGGUGAGUCGGCUCCUAAGGUCAGGCCGAAAGGCGUAGCCGAUGGGAAUCAGGUUAAUAUUCCUGAACCUGCGUCAGAUGCGAUGGGGGGACGGAGCAUGAAAGAUCAUCCGGGUGUUGGAUGUCCCGGUUGACGAGCGUAGGAGGUCUGCAGGCAAAUCCGCAGACGCAUCUCCAAGGCAAAGACACGUGCCGCCACGGCGGCGAAGUGAUCGGAAGUGCUUCCAAGAAAAGCCUCUAAGCACCAGUCUGACGCGGACCGUACCGCAAACCGACACUGGUGGGCGAGCUGAAUAUGCUCAGGCGCUUGAGAGAACUCGGGAGAAGGAACUCGGCAAAUUGACACCGUAACUUCGGAAGAAGGUGUGCCGUAGUAGCGUGAGAGGAGAGACACCUUGAGCGUGAAUCGGUCUCAGAGAAUAGGUGGCUGCGACUGUUUAUUAAAAACACAGCACUCUGCAAAGUCGAAAGACGACGUAUAGGGUGUGAUGCCUGCCCGGUGCUGGAAGAUUAAUUGAUGGGGUGAGAGCCCUUGAUCGAAGUCCCAGUAAACGGCGGCCGUAACUAUAACGGUCCUAAGGUAGCGAAAUUCCUUGUCGGGUAAGUUCCGACCUGCACGAAUGGCAUAACGAUGGCCACACUGUCUCCUCCCGAGACUCAGUGAAGUUGAAAUGUUUGUGAUGAUGCAAUCUACCCGCGGCUAGACGGAAAGACCCCAUGAACCUUUACUGCAGCUUUGCAUUGAACUGUGAACCGAUUUGUGUAGGAUAGGUGGGAGGCAGAGAAGAGGCCACGCCAGUGGUCUUGGAGCCGACCUUGAAAUACCACCCUGAUUUGUUUGCGGUUCUAACCACGGACAGUGAUCCUGUCUUGGGACCGUGCAUGGUAGGCAGUUUGACUGGGGCGGUCUCCUCCUAAAGGGUAACGGAGGAGUACGAAGGUACGCUAGGUACGGUCGGAAAUCGUGCUGAUAGUGCAAUGGCAAAAGCGUGCUUGACUGCGAGAGCAACAACUCGAGCAGAUGCGAAAGCAGGUCAUAGUGAUCCGGUGGCUCUGAAUGGAAGGG
rnacentral:rRNA from 1 species